rnacentral:lncRNA from 1 species
AGGGUUCUGUGGGAGCCUGAGAUUCCGUUUCGGAAAUGACAAGGCUCCUCUGAAAAGCCAAGCUUGUCCAUGGAAACACGCUCUCUGCCGGCAGGCAGCCGUUGGACCCAUCCACGGUAAUGUGCUUGUGCACUUCUUGCCUCAUGGUCAGGCUGUCGCUCUGUGGCCUGAGAGGUUUGUACGUGGUGGCCAGUGUGACGCUCUCACUUCACGGCUCAUGCUUUAGGAAUGGGCAAUCUCAAUCACUGUUCCUAAGGUAAGUUUACAUUGCUCCCCCGAGUGGCUGUUCCUUCAGAUGGGCUCGCUCACUUUGUCUCCUGCAUUUUUCCUUCUUGUGUUUUUCUUCUCAUUUCUACCCCUCUGAGCUAUCUCUAGAGUUAUGCGUAUAACUUCCGGGUUCGUUGUCUUAAUUAAUAUGUCUGGUCCACCUGCCUCAGAUUCAUCACCCGUCAUUGUUGUGACGCUUGGACUGUCACUUGGUUACCCCUCAUGUGGGUCCUGUUUGCACUUCCUCACCUUCAACAGGACUGAGUAUCAGAGGAGAUGAAAAUAGAUUGCAUAGGAUGCUGCUUCCGGAUCCAAAGGAACAAUCGACAGAUGUCACAAAGAUCCACCUCUGGCUGCAUCAGAAAAUUAUGCUCCUGGCUCCACCAGCGAAUGCAACGGGCUAAUGGGUCGGGGACAGUUCACCCUCGGCAUAUUUUGGUGAAGGAGUACAGCAGCUCAGAAGAUAUUCCAUCUGACCCCUCACUCAUGUUGUACGAGUGGCCUUACAGAAGCGAAUUUAUUGCGGAGAGCGUUGGCAGCAUCACUAACGAAGAUGAAGAAUGUUACAUGGCAGAUAACGAGAAUUCUGACAAGGAAAGCAGAAUUAAGCGGAAGCGGAAACGCUCCCUGUUCCUGCGUUUAAGAAAAGCAUUUGGGGGGACAGCCUCCGAUGCCGAUGAUGAGCACACCUAGGAAGAGGCAGUGUCGAUGUGGCAGACCGGGGGUGCAAAGAUUGUCAGUUUGGCAUCAAUGACAACCUGGAUGUGAACACCCCCAGCCUACGCCUCAGCACAUCCAUACCAUCAGGACCUCCACCUAAAUAAGUCCAGAAGCAGCCUCACUCAAUGCUCACCUCCUAGGGCACCUCACUUAGUAUAAUCUCCGUUGUUUAACUGCAUAGAUUUAGUGUAUUAGUUAUAUCCCUAGUUUUAUCUUUUAGUUUUCUCUAUAUGUUCUAUAUGUUCAAUAUUUAUCUCUAUGUUCUGUCUUUUAUGAAAUAAAAUGUUUCUUAUUAAAUUUAAUUUAUUAUUA